GUCCUUUUGAUAAUUAUUUAAGGUCGGGCCUGCUCAAUGAAUUUUUAAAUGGCUGCAGUAUACUGACUGUGCAAAGGUAGCAUAAUCACUAGUUUCUUAAUUAGAAGCUUGAAUGAAAGGUUUGAUGAGAAAGGAGCUGUCUACUAUCUAAGUUUUAUAGAAUUUUAUUUUUAAGUAAAAAAGCUUAAAUAUAGAUUGGGGACGAGAAGACCCUAUAGAGUUUUAUAUUUUAUUAAUUGAUAAUAUUUAGUAUUUUAAUUAUUUUAUGAAAUAAAAUAUUUUGUUGGGGUGAUGAAAAAAUUUAUUAAACUUUUUUUGCAUUUGUACAAUAAUAUUUGAAUAUUUGAUCUUAUAAUUUAGAUUACAAGAUUAAACUACCUUAGGGAUAACAGCGUAAUUUUUUUUAGAGUUCUUAUCGAAUAAAGAGAUUGCGACCUCGAUGUUGGAUUAAAAUACGUGAAUGGUGAAGGAGCUAUUAUACUAAGUCUGUUCGACUUUUAAAAUUUUACAUGAUCUGAGUUUAGACCGGCGUAAG
rnacentral:rRNA from 1 species